GGGGUUGUGGCUCAGUGGUAGAGCACUUGCCUCACUGGUAGAGCGCUUGCCUCACAAGUGUGAGGCACUGGGUUCGAGCCUCACUCAGCACCA
rnacentral:tRNA from 1 species